rnacentral:rRNA from 1 species
UGCAGUCGACGCUUUGUGGUUCAACUGAUUUGAAGAGCUUGCUCAGAUAUGACGAUGGACAUUGCAAAGAGUGGCGAACGGGUGAGUAACACGUGGGAAACCUACCUCUUAGCAGGGGAUAACAUUUGGAAACAGAUGCUAAUACCGUAUAACAAUAGCAACCGCAUGGUUGCUACUUAAAAGAUGGUUCUGCUAUCACUAAGAGAUGGUCCCGCGGUGCAUUAGUUAGUUGGUGAGGUAAUGGCUCACCAAGACGAUGAUGCAUAGCCGAGUUGAGAGACUGAUCGGCCACAAUGGGACUGAGACACGGCCCAUACUCCUACGGGAGGCAGCAGUAGGGAAUCUUCCACAAUGGGCGAAAGCCUGAUGGAGCAACGCCGCGUGUGUGAUGAAGGGUUUCGGCUCGUAAAACACUGUUGUAAGAGAAGAAUGACAUUGAGAGUAACUGUUCAAUGUGUGACGGUAUCUUACCAGAAAGGAACGGCUAAAUACGUGCCAGCAGCCGCGGUAAUACGUAUGUUCCAAGCGUUAUCCGGAUUUAUUGGGCGUAAAGCGAGCGCAGACGGUUAUUUAAGUCUGAAGUGAAAGCCCUCAGCUCAACUGAGGAAUUGCUUUGGAAACUGGAUGACUUGAGUGCAGUAGAGGAAAGUGGAACUCCAUGUGUAGCGGUGAAAUGCGUAGAUAUAUGGAAGAACACCAGUGGCGAAGGCGGCUUUCUGGACUGUAACUGACGUUGAGGCUCGAAAGUGUGGGUAGCAAACAGGAUUAGAUACCCUGGUAGUCCACACCGUAAACGAUGAGUGCUAGGUGUUUGAGGGUUUCCGCCCUUAAGUGCCGCAGCUAACGCAUUAAGCACUCCGCCUGGGGAGUACGACCGC